rnacentral:rRNA from 1 species
AUUGAACGCUGGCGGAAUGCUUUACACAUGCAAGUCGAACGGCAGCACGGACUUCGGUCUGGUGGCGAGUGGCGAACGGGUGAGUAAUGUAUCGGAACGUGCCCAGUCGUGGGGGAUAACGUAGUGAAAAUUACGCUAAUACCGCAUACGAUCUAUGGAUGAAAGCGGGGGAUCGCAAGACCGCGCGCGAUUGGAGCGGCCGAUAUCAGAUUAGGUAGUUGGUGGGGUAAAGGCCCACCAAGCCAACGAUCUGUAGCUGGUCUGAGAGGACGACCAGCCACACUGGAACUGAGACACGGUCCAGACUCCUACGGUAGGCAGCAGUGGGGAAUGUUGGACAAUGGGCGAAAGCCUGAUCCAGCCAUUCCGCGUGCAGGAUGAAGGCCCUCGGGUUGUAAACUGCUUUUGUACAGAACGAAAAGGUUUCUACUAAUACUAGGAGCUCAUGACGGUACUGUAAGAAUAAGCACCGGCUAACUACGUGCCAGCCGCCGCCGUAA